rnacentral:rRNA from 1 species
UACGUAGGGGGCUAGCGUUGUCCGGAAUCAUUGGGCGUAAAGCGCGCGUAGGCGGCCCGGUAAGUCCGCUGUGAAAGUCAAAGGCUCAACCUUUGAAUGUCAGCGGAUACUGCCGGGCUAGAGUCCGGAAGAGGAGAGUGGAAUUCCUGGUGUAGCGGUGAAAUGCGCAGAUAUCAGGAGGAACACCGGUGGCGAAGGCGGGUCUCUGGGCCGUAACUGACGCUGAGGAGCGAAAGCAUGGGGAGCGAACAGG